rnacentral:rRNA from 1 species
CCUACGGGCGGCAGCAGUGGGGAAUAUUGGACAAUGGGGGCAACCCUGAUCCAGCAAUUCUGUGUGCACGAAGAAGGUUUUCGGAUUGUAAAGUGCUUUCAGCAGGGAAGAAGGAAGUGACGGUACCUGCAGAAGAAGCGACGGCUAAAUACGUGCCAGCAGCCGCGGUAAUACGUAUGUCGCGAGCGUUAUCCGGAAUUAUUGGGCAUAAAGGGCAUCUAGGCGGCCUGACAAGUCAGGGGUGAAAACCUGCGGCUCAACCGCAGGCCUGCCUUUGAAACUGUAAGGCUGGAGUACCGGAGAGGUGGACGGAACUGCACGAGUAGAGGUGAAAUUCGUAGAUAUGUGCAGGAAUGCCGAUGAUGAAGAUAGUCCACUGGACGGAAACUGACGCUGAAGUGCGAAAGCCGGGGGAGCGAAUAGGAUUAGAUACCCCUGUAGUC